rnacentral:rRNA from 1 species
UACGAAGGGUCCAAGCGUUGUUCGGAAUCAUUGGGCGUAAAGCGCGCGCAGGCGGAUUAGUAAGUCAGAUGUGAAAUCUCGAAGCUCAACUUCGAAACUGCGUCUGAAACUACUAGUCUAGAAUGUCGGAGGGGGUAGGGGAAUUUCACGUGUAGGGGUAAAAUCCGUAGAGAUGUGAAGGAACACCGGAGGCGAAGGCGCCUACCUGGACGACUAUUGACGCUGAGGCGCGAAAGCGUGGGGAGCAAACAGG